GGGGAUUUGGCUCAGUGGUAGAGCACUUGCCUAAGAAGCGCAAGGUCCUGGGUUCGAUCCCCAGCCCCG
rfam:Rattus norvegicus chromosome 16, whole genome shotgun sequence.